rnacentral:rRNA from 1 species
GACGAACCGUGCAAACGUUAUUCGGAAUCACUGGGCAUAAAGGGCGCGUAGGCGGCUCCAAAAGUCAGGGGUGAAAUCCGGCAGCUUAACUGUCGCAGUGCCUUUGAUACUGUGGAGCUAGAGGGAGGUAGGGGUCUGUGGAACUUCCGGUGGAGCGGUGAAAUGCGUUGAUAUCGGAAGGAACGCCGGUGGCGAAAGCGACGGACUGGAUCUCUUCUGACGCUGAGGCGCGAAAGCCAGGGGAGCAAACGGGAUUAGAAA